rnacentral:lncRNA from 1 species
UCGAUUUUCUAUCGCGCUGUACAAGGAUAUAAAUAAAAAAGAGGGUAAUUUUGAUUAGAUUACUCGAAGUUUUCAAAUGAUUCACACAACAUUUAAAUAACCAGAUGACUUAACCAUUUUCAAAAAAUACACUGUGUGAACGAUUUUUGUUUUCAUUUGUUGAUGGAACCUGUGAUUUCCAUAGGAUCAAUUCUUUCAAUAGAAUCCACUUUAAAUCUGUAAGGUAUGUUCAACAAAGCAGAGACUAUAAACCUUAAUGCAACGAAAGUUGGAAUCAAACGAAAAGCAGAAUUGACGGAGUCCCAUCUUUCUAUUCCAUCAAAACGAGUUUCACUAUUUUUAGAAACACCAAAUGAAAGGAAAGAUGAACGAAAGAAAGUUUUAUUAAUCUCAGUUAAAAAGUUGAAACAUUUAGAUGAAGCGAAAGACUUUCUUAGAAGAACAGUUCUUGUUAAUAACGUAAGGAAACGUCUACAAAUGGAAUUUCGAGAAGAAAAUCUUCGAACUAACACAUAUGAAACAUAUUGUAGAAAGGCUUUCAGUGGUUAUGGUGUACUUAACCGCAAUUGUAUUUCCAACUCCUGUUUGUUUGACGAUCCCACCUUUAGUUGUUUUCAAGAGAAAAUCACAGAUGAUAUGACAGACACACUUAUUCAAAACGUGUUUGAUGAUCAAUCUAAUGCUAUGAUUUCGUCAUCCGACAUUGGCGAAAAGUUAGUUCAAGUGUCAGAUAAAAUUGAAAUUUCUACAGAAGACUUAGAUCUGUUAACUUCCUUCAGGUGACAUGUCAAGUUCUCGUGACAUGAGCGUCCCUAUUUUAGCAUCGAGAAAAGGGUCAAGGUUGUUUAAGCAAUAGAACUGAUAUGACGGAAAUGUUUGUCGAGAUAGUUACAACGGCAAGGCAAUGUGAACAGUAGUAUAAAUAAUUCCAAGAACGUUUGACGUGAUGACUGAGAAGUCAUACAGAUAGGCAAGUGUGUCAAGGAAGCAUUAGAGCUAUCUAUUAGCGACCUACAACAAUGACGUAGAAGGAAAAAAAUUAUACUAUGAAACCAUUAAAGAAGAGGAACUGUAUAUUAAACUUUUUUCGUUCUUAUCCCAAUUGUAUUUGUGUUAUCUGACUUGAUGUUAUUUUCGAAAUAAAAAAAUGUUUAAACUAAACCAUUGAGGAAAGCAUAUAAGCCAUGUUUCAAGGUAUCCAUUGACAGUAACAGAAAGAAACAAUUUAUACGUAACGUGAAAGAAAAUUAAUGAACUUGAAGAUGUUUGGAAAACUUGCUACACUCAAGGACUGGACCAGAAACCAUUUUCAUAUUCCUUCAACACAUUCAUGUCUGCUAUAGACAUAAAUCAUAGCAUUGCCAUAUCAAUGCCUUAUAAAAUAGCAUGAUCAGACACAAAAUGUUACAUUUCAGUUAAUUUCUUUAGGAAGUUCUACCAAAACAAUCCAUAUUAACGCAUUAAAAUGUCGUUCUUCACUUGCAGGAAAUUCUUUGCAAUCAUACAUAUAACGCCAACCAUAAUACUGCAAUCCUGAUAAGGAGAUAUUGACUUUUAAAUGCGUGAAUGCUAGCAGAAUAGCAAAUGUGAAGCAAGACUAUCAGACUCAUAAAAGCCAAGCCUCUCCCUUUGUGCCAUUUAAUAUAACAUCAUAUCGAUCAAUUUUGCCUUUAAGUACAUUUUUAGAAUAUUUGUGACAUCUAUUUCUUCUGUUUUAUAAAAAUUGCAAGCAAAAUAAAUGACAUGUUAUGAAAUAUAAAAAAAGUAAAUGUGUUAGGUAACAGCCCCAAUAUACAUGUUGAUUUUAAGACUCCUAAAAAUCUACUUAAACUAGAUUGAUUCUUAUAAGAUAGUAACCAAACUGCUUAUAUCACAUUACACAUGUUAAUAAAUUUGGACUCAG